GCCGGGUGCGGUGGCGCGCGCCUGUAAUCCAAGUUACCGGGAGGCUGAGGUUGGCGGAUCGUUUGAGCUCAGGAGUUCUGAGCUGCAGCGGACUAUGCCGAUCGGGUGUCCGCACUAAGUUCGGUAUCGAUAUGGUGCUCCUGGGGGAAGCCCGGGACCACCAGGUCGUCUAAGGAGGGGUGCACCGGCCCAGGCCGGAGACGGAGCAGGCCAAAGCCCCCGUGCCGCUCAGUAGUGGAAUCGCGCCUGUGAAUAGACGCUGUAGAGCAGCCUGAGUAAUACAGCGGGACCCUGUCUUUU
rnacentral:SRP_RNA from 1 species